rnacentral:rRNA from 1 species
AUGAACGCUGGCGGCGUGCCUCAUCCAUGCCAGUCGAGCGAACAGACGAGGAGCUUGCUCCUCUGACGUUAGCGGCGGACGGGUGAGUAACACGUGGAUAACCUACCUAUAAGACUGGGAUAACUUCGGGAAACCGGAGCUAAUACCGGAUAAUAUAUUGAACCGCAUGGUUCAAUAGUGAAAGACGGUUUUGCUGUCACUUAUAGAUGGAUCCGCGCCGCAUUAGCUAGUUGGUAAGGUAACGGCUUACCAAGGCGACGAUGCGUAGCCGACCUGAGAGGGUGAUCGGCCACACUGGAACUGAGACACGGUCCAGACUCCUACGGGAGGCAGCAGUAGGGAAUCUUCCGCAAUGGGCGAAAGCUUGACGGAGCAACGCCGCGUGAGUGAUGAAGGUCUUCGGAUCGUAAAACUCUGUUAUUAGGGAAGAACAAAUGUGUAAGUAACUAUGCACGUCUUGACGGUACCUAAUCAGAAAGCCACGGCUAACUACGUG